rnacentral:sRNA from 1 species
GUCGCAGGUUCGAAUCCUGCACGACCCACCAAUCGCUAAGGUGGAACGCGAUUGUAAAACGUGAAGGAUAACGUUGCGUAAGCAACGGCCCGUAGGGCGAGACGAAGUCGAGUCAUCCUGCACGACCCACCA